UACGUAGGGUGCUAGCGUUGUUCGGAAUUAUUGGGCGUAAAGCGCGUGUAGGCUGCUUACUAAGUCGGGUGUGAAAUCCCUGGGCUCAACCGAGGAAGUGCAUUCGAAACUAGUAAGCUAGAAGAUGGUAGAGGAAGGUGGAAUUCCAAGUGUAGAGGUGAAAUUCGUAGAUAUUUGGAGGAAUACCGGCGGCGAAGGCGGCCUUCUGGACCAUUCUUGACGCUGAGACGCUAAAGCGUGGGUAGCAAACAGG
rnacentral:rRNA from 1 species